GGAUGCGAUCAUACCAGCUAAUGCACCGGAUCCCAUCAGAACUCCGAAGUUAAGCGUGCUUGGGCGAGUAGUACUAGGAUGGGUGACCCCUGGGAAGUCCUCGUGUUGCAUCCC
rnacentral:rRNA from 1 species